UCACUCUAAGCUGACAUAGUAGCUGCUGCAAAUGAAUCACUGGAAAAGUAUUUCGUGAUGACAGCCGAAAAACGGUUAUUUCUUGGAAAGAAUGAUUCAUACCAAACUGAAAAGUUUAUGCGUGGGUGUCGGUUUCUUGAAGCUGACAUACAAGACAUGGAUCGUGUUCUGGUUGGCCAGACAAGAACAGGAAUGUGUGGUUGAAUGACUUUUGCUUUUGUUUUCGGAUGGGGUGGACAAGGCUACAUCUUCUUCUUUAAUCCCCAGUUAUCAGGUUCUUUCUUUCAAAAUAGGGUCAUACUUUUCGCUUUUAUAAUGAUUUAUAUAAUUGUUCUAUUUCUCUUUGUGUAGAACCGAUUAUACGAAUGAAGUCAACUACUAAUCCAACUGAAAUGGGUGGAAACAUUGCGGUUACUGUGACAGGAUCACCUACGCUUUCCAUCUGGGUACUAAUAAGUGUUUGUUCAAGGUGGCAAGGCUGAGCGAAGUGAUGCGAACAAGGUCUCUUAGAAAGUUACAGGUGUCAAUAUUUUGGGUAAAGAAGUUAGAGGGGUUAUUUCUGGUGACUCGAGAACUGGGCUAGAGCUUAAGAAGUCUCCUGCAUCUUCCAACAUGAGUAGUCUUGUGCUUCAAGUGUGUGUUUCAUUUUUUUAUGGCGUGUUCAAGAAGAGGCAGAGGAUAUUAUGUGAUUUGAUGUAAUUUGUUUAUGGUUGGGGAUCUAAAUUUCUUGGUGGGAUGGUAACUUUGACUCAUAGAAGUCUAUGGAAUACAAGGAUGUCAAAGUAUUGUUUCGGAUGUAGUAAUGCUAGCGAAUUUGAGUAAGAUGCAAGUUCUUUUGUUUUUGUUUUCAUA